rnacentral:rRNA from 1 species
GAUGAACGCUAGCUACAGGCUUAACACAUGCAAGUCGAGGGGUAGCAGGGUAGCAAUACCGCUGACGACCGGCGCACGGGUGAGUAACACGUAUCCAACCUUCCCAUAACUCGGGGAUAGCCUUUCGAAAGAGAGAUUAAUACCCGAUAGUACUUUAUUAAGGCAUCUUAAGAAAGUUAAAGAUUUAUUGGUUAUGGAUGGGGAUGCGUUCCAUUAGAUAGUUGGGGAGGUAACGGCUCACCAAGUCUUCGAUGGAUAGGGGUUCUGAGAGGAAGGUCCCCCACAUUGGUACUGAGACACGGACCAAACUCGUACGGGAGGCAGCAGUGAGGAAUAUUGGUCAAUGGGCGAGAGCCUGAACCAGCCAAGUAGCGUGAAGGAUGAAGGUCCUAUGGAUUGUAAACUUCUUUUAUAGUAGAAUAAAGUGAACCACGUGUGGUUUUUUGUAUGUAUACUAUGAAUAAGGAUCGGCUAACUCCGUGCCAGCAGCCGCCGUAACAC